CACGUAGGAGACAAGCGUUAUCCGGAUUUACUGGGUGUAAAGCGCGUGCAGGCGGUUUGGAAAGUUGGAUGUGAAAGCUCCUGGCUUAACUGGGAGAGGUCGUUCAAGACUACCAGACUAGAGGACAGCAGAGGGGAGUGGAAUUCCGAGUGUAGCGGUAAAAUGCAUAGAUAUUCGGAAGAACACCAGUGGCGAAGGCGGCUCUCUGGGCUGUAACUGACGCUCAGACGCGAAAGCUAGGGUAG
rnacentral:rRNA from 1 species